UACGGGGGGAGCAAGCGUUGUUCGGAUUUACUGGGCGUAAAGGGCGCGUAGGCGGCCAGCACAAGUCAGUUGUGAAAUCUCCGAGCUUAACUCGGAAAGGUCAACUGAUACUGUGCGGCUAGAGUGCGGAAGGGGCAACUGGAAUUCUUGGUGUAGCGGUGAAAUGCGUAGAUAUCUGGAGGAACACCGGUGGCGAAGGCGGCAUUCUGGACUGCAACUGACACUGAAAGACGAAAGCCAGGGGAGCAAACGGG
rnacentral:rRNA from 1 species